GGUGUAGGUAGGUGGGACUGUCAAGAAGCUAAGUUCUUUGAACAGGUUCAUGUAGUGUGGUCAGGCCCGGGGAGAGGGGCCGGAAAGCUUGAGUCCAGAAAUUAGGAGACUUCUCAGUGCCUGCACGGGAAAGGGGCUGCAGCCUUACAAAGAGUGUGGUGCAUUAGGUGAAACCUAGUGGCUCUAAAGAGAUCCUAGCUAUACUGCAAGGCUCUUUGUGUGCUAAGGGGUUGGGUACAGAGCCCCUACUCCCGUCAUUCUUCGUCACUUCAAUCAGUGCUCACAACGUCCAGCUGUUUUCUUGGUUGGGAUAUUAUGAUAUAAAUAAUACUUCUUUCUUUUAAUGGACUUUGCUCUUUGUAGUCUGAGACUUCUCUUAUUCCUCCAAGAGUGGUCAGUGACCCAGAUGAUAUCUAUUAAAAACCCUAGAAAAUGGUCAAAAGUUUAUGAGCAAAAAUAAAUCAAUCUCGAUUUUGAUCUGGGGAUUGGCAAUCUAUUGGGCUUAAGAAUUUGCCAUCUCUUUACCAAGUUAUCUUGAAUGGAGAGCUAACACCAGUGCGAGGACUUACCUUUCAGACUUCUCUAGUGCUCUAUGCACCACAGGGAAUCAUUUCUCUAGGCCACCUUCUGCUCUAUCUCCCACUGACAGUGUGUUCUUGCUCUGAAAGUACUGAUUGUUCCUUUUGACUUAAAGAUCUUCACCUUCUCUCAAAAGGGUACCUGGACAGUGAUGGGUGUAGACAAGGUCCCAUUUUUACCCUUCUGUGCUUACUGCCUUUUUUUUUUUUUUUUUUGAUACGAUGGUCUCACCUCAUUAGAGGGGGACAUUCUCAAAAGCGAUGGAGUCGGAGGAAGUCAUGGAGAUUUUAGAUCCUCAUCAGAUCGUUGGAGCUUCCUAGCACUGUCUGCUGAAGAGACGUAGAAACAAUGAGCAUCCUGUGAACAAUGAGCACCCUGGCACCCAGACUAUGGUCUUGAAACACCAUUUCCUAUUAAAAGGAACUAGGGCUCCUUGGAGAAAUGAAUUAUUCCAGGGCCAGAAUAGGAAAUGACCAAGAUGAGCCUGUAACAUCUUUUCAUAUCAGAAAACAGGGAUGCUAUCAAAGACUAAUAAGGUAGUGUUUCUUCAUGAGGCUCCCACAACCAGAGAUGAGAGAAUUUGCACAGCCAUAAAAAGAUAAGGGUGGUAGACAGAUACUCAAAUACAUAGGUCAUAAGUAAAUGCAUCACGAAAUGUUACUAAAAGAAAAAAAUCACUUCUGGAUCAGGACAGAGAACAAACUCUUUCAAAAAAGUAAAUUGAACAAAUAUAUGACAGAAUAAUAGAUUUAGAAUCUCCCCACUUUGCACUCCCUAAUGAAUUCAUGAAUGUAGGUGUUGAACAUCAGGGGCUAGUAAUAUCACAGAAGGAGAGAGGAACAGACAUUAAGUGCCUCCCAGUGCAAAAACACAUUGCCAUCUACAAAGUUACCUUGGGGAAAAAAAAACCUGAAUAGGAUCAAAGCUCAGAAAAUUCAGAAGAUAUUAGAAAAUGAUAGCUUACAUUAUAGGGAUUCAAUCAUCAAAAUCCAGUCUAUGCGAAACUUUACAGGGCAAAUGACUUGAUGUCUUCAAAUUGCAAAAAGAAAGAGAGGAGAGAACCUGUAAAUUAAGAGACUUCUAAGAUAUUUAUCUUUAAAAAAGCAAAACCAGACUAUUGCACAUAAGGAUGCUCAUUUGUAGCUAGAACUACAAAGAAAAGUGAGGAAAUGAUGAUUGUCAACAUCUGGAUAGUCUUUUUAGGGAGGAGAGAAAGGCUGUGAUUGGCACAGAGGCACUACCUCCGAAGUGGUCAGCAAAGGUCUAUUUUUCAGCCUGGGUAGUGAUUGCAAGGGAUUUGUUUUAUACCAACCUAUUAAGCUACAUUUUAUGUGGUUUUUUGUGCCUGUUUU
rnacentral:lncRNA from 10 species